rfam:Lupinus angustifolius cultivar Tanjil chromosome LG19, whole genome shotgun sequence.
AGGUGCGAUCAUACCAGCACUAAUGCACCUGAUCCCAUCAGAACUCCGUAGUAAAGCGCGCUUGGGCGAGAGUAGUACUAGGAUGGGUGACCUCCUGGGAAGUCCUCGUUUGCACCUC